UAGCUGUGGAGGAAAUUUGGG
rnacentral:misc_RNA from 1 species